rnacentral:rRNA from 1 species
AUUGAACGCUGGCGGCAGGCCUAACACAUGCAAGUCGAACGGUAACAGGAAGCAGCUUGCUGCUUUGCUGACGAGUGGCGGACGGGUGAGUAAUGUCUGGGAAACUGCCUGAUGGAGGGGGAUAACUACUGGAAACGGUAGCUAAUACCGCAUAACGUCGCAAGACCAAAGAGGGGGACCUUAGGGCCUCUUGCCAUCGGAUGUGCCCAGAUGGGAUUAGCUAGUAGGUGGGGUAACGGCUCACCUAGGCGACGAUCCCUAACUGGUCUGAGAGGAUGACCAGCCACACUGGAACUGAGACACGGUCCAGACUCCUACGGGAGGCAGCAGUGGGGAAUAUUGCACAAUGGGCGCAAGCCUGAUGCAGCCAUGCCGCGUGUAUGAAGAAGGCCUUCGGGUUGUAAAGUACUUUCAGCGGGGAGGAAGGGAGUAAAGUUAAUACCUUUGCUCAUUGACGUUACCCGCAGAAGAAGCACCGGCUAACUCCGUG